GACGUAGGUGGCGAACGUUAUCCGGAAUUAUUGGGCGUAAAGGGUGCGUAGGUGGCCUGACAAGUUAUCAGUGGCAAAUCGAGGCUCAACCUCGUGGAAACUGGUAAUACUGUUCGGCUUGAGUACAGGAGAGGUUAACGGAACUCUAUGUGGAGCGGUAAAAUGCACAGAUAUAUAGAAGAACAUCAAUAAAAGGCGAAGGCAGUUAACUAUUCUGUUACUGACACUGAGGCACGAAAGCGUGGGGAGCAAAACGG
rnacentral:rRNA from 1 species